AUAAGAUAUGACAUUGAUGUCUAUUUGCAGCCUCUUAUUGUCGAGUUGAAAUAGUUAUGAAGCAUUCAAGAUGUUCCAACUUUUGAUGCGUUGAUGAAUGAGUCAUUCUCUAUGCGCGCAGCGCUUAUGUGGAUAAUAAACGACUUUUCAACUUAUGCCCUAAUAUCGGGUUGGAGCAUGAAAGGUGAGCUAGCAUGCCUAAUUUGUGAAAAAAAAUAUCCGAUCUAAAAGGUUGACACAUCGGAGGAGCUUUAACUUUAUAGGACAUCGACGUUUCCUCC
rnacentral:lncRNA from 1 species